rnacentral:rRNA from 1 species
GAUGAACGCUGGCGGCGUGCCUAAUACAUGCAAGUCGAGCGAACAGAUGAGGAGCUUGCUCCUCUGACGUUAGCGGCGGACGGGUGAGUAACACGUGGAUAACCUACCUAUAAGACUGGGAUAACUUCGGGAAACCGGAGCUAAUACCGGAUAAUAUAUUGAACCGCAUGGUUCAAUAGUGAAAGACGGUUUUGCUGUCACUUAUAGAUGGAUCCGCGCCGCAUUAGCUAGUUGGUAAGGUAACGGCUUACCAAGGCAACGAUGCGUAGCCGACCUGAGAGGGUGGUCGGCCACCCUGGAACUGGGGCCCCGUCCAGGCUCCUUCGGGGGGCCGGAGUUAGGGAUCUUCCGCAAUGGGCGAAAGCCUGACGGAGCCACGGCGCGUGAGGGAUGAAGGGCUUCGGAUCGUAAAACUCCGUUAUUUGGGAAGAACAAAUUUGGAAGUUACUAUGGCCCUCUUGGCGGGACCUAAUCAGAAAGCCACGGCUAACUACGU